GUGUCAGCAGCCGCGGUAAGACAGAGGGUGCAAACGUUGUUCGGAAUUACUGGGCGUAAAGCGCGUGUAGGCGGCUGGGCAAGUCGGAUGUGAAAGCCCUGGGCUCAACCCAGGAAGUGCACUCGAAACUGCCGAGCUGGAGUCCCGGAGAGGAAGGCGGAAUUCUCGGUGUAGAGGUGAAAUUCGUAGAUAUCGAGAGGAACACCUGUGGCGAAGGCGGCCUUCUGGACGGCGACUGACGCUGAGACGCGAAAGCGUGGGGAGCAAACAGGAUUAGAAACCCGCGUAGUCC
rnacentral:rRNA from 1 species